UUUACCCACCCGGCCACGCCUGGAAAGCAGGUCCGCACCCCAUCCGGGGGGCGUGCUUUGGGGUCCAUACAAGGCGCGCUGAAGUCACACUAACGUGCAGUAACGACCGAAGUUUCACUUUCCAUUUACCGGCUGACAAAAUUAGGAAACUUAGGAAACUUUGACAUGGUUAAUUCGGAUAUAACAUAAAAUAGUGACAAUCCAAACUGCCCAGGCACGAUCACCGUUGGUCUAGUGCAAGAUUUGUUCAACUUGUCUUUUCUUUAUGAAAGAGAUGUAGCUUUUAUUUCCUGCAGCAAGGAACUAGCAGACAUUAUGGAGAACAUGAAAUGACGACUCACAAAAAUGGGAGAAGAUAUUUGCAAAUCGUAUGUCAGAUGGGGGUCUGGUGUCCAUAAUAUAUAAGGAAGUCUUACAACCCGACAACAAAAAUGUAACUCAAUCGCACACUGGUCCAGGGACUUGAACAGGCAUUUCUCUGCAGAAAAUAUGCAAGUGGCCGGCAAGCUCACGAGAAGUUGCUCAGCGCCGUUCGAGGAUGCGGGUCAAAACCACAGCGAGAGAGCUCACGCCAACUAGAGAAAAAUGGAGGAAGCCGUGGGAACAGCCAAACCCCUCAGCAGUGACUGUGAAAACGCAACGUGGUCCACUGUCACAGGGGACUGCCACUCAGCCACAGACAGGGACGGAGCGCAGACACGUACUACAGUGUGAGUGCGCCGUGGAAACGCUGUGCCAAGUGACAGGAGCCCGGCGUGGAAGGCACUGUACCGCGGUGAUUCUAUGUAUCGGGAGUAUCUGUCAGGUAUAGGACAGAAAACCUUUAAAAAAAUAAACAAAAUAAACUGCCAACAGGAAUUUAAAAAAAAAGCU